AAAUGGCCUCCAACGUGAAUGUUUGUUGCCUUGAAAGACAUUCACAUCAAAACUUCAACCAAUCUCUCCUCCACACACACUUCCUCUUUAUACUAUUAAUUAAUCCACAUUCACUAUUUUAAACUUUUGUAAAGUGAUUAUGAGAAUAAUAAUGUUGGGGAGGCCCGAGUUUUCAUGGGAAGACACUGAUUAAACAAGGGACUGAAUUAAGAACUUGGGAUAAUUAUCAUUAUUUUCUCCCCGACUCC